CAUAUUUGAUUUAUUUAAUGAUUUCUUGCAAAACAAUUUACCAAUUUAAUCAAAAUAAUUAAUCAAUUAUCACAUAAGGAAACAAAUAUUUUAUUAAUUGAUAAAUAUCUUCAAUUAGAUCAAGAAUAUACUCAUAUAUAUCAAAAAAUCGGAUUUAUAUUGAUCUAAUGUGAUAAGGCAACUUUCUAUAAGCAAAAACAGCAAGAAAUCGCGAAGAUAGCCCCAUCUGACGAGUUGACUCGUCGAGUCAAGCAUGGACUCGUCGAGUCAGCAUGGACUCGGCGAGUUCAGCUAUGGACUCGGCGAGUCCAGCCUCCAGAAACCAAAAAAUCGAAUUUUUCAAACAUAUAAAGCAUCAAUACAAUAGAAACCAGUCUAGGCUCUGAUACCACUGAUGGGUUUUGGUCCUAAGAACAUCCUAUGUGCUCAUACAAACCCUAAUGCUUGGAUCUAGGUUUCUCUAUUGUACAUGCAAGUUAUCCAAGACUAUAAACCCUAAUUCUAGCAUUCAAGUAAUCAUAUUAACAUAAUAAUGAGUUUAAGAUAUUACCUUGAUUGUUAUGUAGCAAUAACAAUCCCAAAUCUCCUUAUAUUGACUUUAGAAAGGGAAUUCAAGUAAUCAUAUUAACAUAAUAAUGAGUUUAAGAUAUUACCUUGAUUGUUAUGUAGCAAUAACAAUCCCAAAUCUCCUUAUAUUGACUUUAGAAAGCUUAGAGUCACAAAUGUCACUCCUCUAAUGGUUCACAAACACCA
rnacentral:lncRNA from 1 species